AGUGAUAGAAAACGAGCUAGAGAAUUUAUAGACUCUGAUUUUUCAGAAAGUAAACGAAGCAAAAAAGGAGAUAAAAACGGAAAAGGUUUAAGGCACUUUUCAAUGAAAGUGUGUGAGAAAGUUCAGCGGAAAGGUACAACAUCAUACAAUGAAGUAGCUGAUGAGUUGGUAUCUGAGUUUACCAAUUCAAAUAACCAUUUGGCAGCUGAUUCGGUCUCUAACUAAACCUGGAACUUUGAUUGGCUAGACUAGCAGGCCAGUGAGCAUCUGGGAUCCAUCUGUCUCCACCCCCAACUCAGUCCUGGGGUUACAGAUGUGUGCCCACUGCAUUUGACUUUUAUAUGGGUGCUGGGGAUCCAAACUCAGGUCUUCAUGCUUCAUAGUAAGUACAUGUCCACUCAGCUCUCUCCCUACCCCUUGAUGUUUUUAAGUCUAAAAUCCUUCCAGAUAAUUCAGGCCCUUUGAAUACUCUACCUUUCUAUGUAGGUGUUUGUCAUAUAUAUUAAUUUUGUGUAUAUUCUGAGCUCUGUAAGAUACUAUCUUUUAUGCAGUUCAGAUCUACCCACAUAUUUACUUUUCCCUACCAUCUCCAAGUUCUUGUCUUAUAAUCUCCCACCUGAAGAAGUC